GAGUACUUCGCCGUCGCCUCUUGAGCUAAUCACAUUCGGUUAGUAACGACGCUGGAAGUUGUAUGUUAAAGGAAAUUACAAAAAUAUUUCAUUCGAAUUAAUAUUGCAAGUCACGGAUCAGCAAAACACUAAUAACAAAAGCACUUAAAGUGCGCUUUAAUGAGGCCCUCUUUUUCUAUUAGAUCGUAGUUCUUUACACAUACAUAUAACUAAUACACAUACAUAUAUAAUAUAAGCUGUAAAUA